GGUAGUCUCGCACAGAUGCAUAUCAAUAAGCGGAGGAAAAGAAACUAACAAGGAUUCCCUUAGUAACGGCGAGUGAAGCGGGAAGAGCUCAAAUUCGAAAUCUUCAAGGUUUUACCUUGACGAAUUGUAGUUUAAAGAAGUGUUUUCUGCUGAAGUUUUGGUAAAAGUUCUUUGGAAUAGGACAUCAUAGAGGGUGAGAAUCCCGUAUUUGACCAUUAUUUUCAGCUUUGUGAUACACUUUCAAAGAGUCGGAUUGUUUGGGAAUGCAGUCCAAAAUGGGUGGUAAAUUUCAUCUAAAGCUAAAUAUUGGCGAGAGACCGAUAGCGAACAAGUACCGUGAGGGAAAGAUGAAAAGAACUUUGAAAAGAGAGUUAAACAGUACGUGAAAUUGUCAAAAGGGAAGCGUUUGACACCAGUGUUGUUCUCUCGAAAAUCAAUUAAAAAUGGCUCGAUUUUGUAUUGCUGAGACCUUAAAAGCUCACUGUACAUUUUUCGUGUCUUUUUUAAUGCACUUUUCGUUUAACAAGUCAACAUCAGUUUCUUUUGUUGUAAAAGGGUCAUUGGAAGGUGGCUUUCUUUUCGGAGAAAGUGUUUAUAGCCUUUGGCCUCUGCAAUCGGAGAGACUGAGGUCUGCAGCGUAGACUCUUCGGGGUUAGAUACUCAUGUGCUAAGUGUGAUAGCCAUUUUCAUAGACAACUUGUUGACUAUAAUAGUUUUGUCUAUUGCAUACUCGCUUGUACUAUCAUACCUACGCUUAGGAUGUUGAGUCGUAGAGCACGCAG
rnacentral:rRNA from 1 species